GUAUAUAUAGCUCAAGCGGUAGAGUGCAUGUUUAGCAUACAGGAAGUCCUGGGUUCAAUCCCCAGUACCUCCU
rnacentral:tRNA from 1 species